rnacentral:lncRNA from 1 species
GCGAAAUACAAGGAGAGACACAAUUAUAUUCAUUGCAAGUGAAAAUUAAAGCAAUAAAUCUAAAAAAUGAAAUGACCCUCUGUCACUAUCAGUGUGUCACUAUUAGUGUUCACACUGAAUAAGAUGAGCAACUGGAGAGUCAUGAAUAUGAUCAGGUCUCUGAUCAGUCAAUGGCAAAACAAUGGGAGUUCUGGGCUGCUCUUCUCCACCAUGGAAACAAAAGGGGUUUUGGCGUCAGGUACCAGCGGAGGCAGCACAAGCUGUAUGGGGCUCUAUGUAACAUAGGGUGGAGGGGGAGAAAAAUGUGCUGGGAGCCAGAAAGGGCUGCCAGUACCAGCUGUUAUGAUACCAAACAGGAAGACGAGCUGUCCAUGCAUUCCUGCCAACUCUGAGGUCCAGUCUGUGGCCAGAAUGGAACUGAGCACUGCAAUGCAUGUUUUAAGAAUUGUUGUCAAACAAGGAAAUAAAUGCAAAUGUUCUCCCA